rnacentral:lncRNA from 1 species
GGCGCAGUUACAGUUAGACCACCUUAAAAUUUUAUUUUCCAAUACAAUACAAUAUGUAUUUGAUCUGGUCCAUCAAACUAAAAUAAUAAAGUCCAUCAAAACACAAAGAUACGCUGCCAUGUAGAAUCUUUGACAAAUCAUGUGCUGCAAGAAAAUAAUCUACAAAAUAAAUACAACACAUUGUUCUUUAUAAAACUUGAAUACAAAUUUUUUGUAUACAAAAAAAAUAGAUAAAUAUAUAAAUAAACUUCUACCUAUCUAUAUAACGUGCGAUUAUGUGUGGUCACUACCCAGUCCUCGAUAACUAAAAAAACAUGCAAUUUACUUUUAUACUGACCGCCAAACCGGUUAACGGCAAUAGUUAUACAUCUUGUACAAAAUUCCCAAUUAUAAAAUUAAUGCACAAUCUUUCAUAUUCAUUCCGCAUUCCGCACAUAAAUUCAUUUAUCAUGAAUAAAUCAUAUUGAACUUUUCUAUUUUUUUCAAGU